GGGAUGAGCUUGCGUCCGAUUAGCUAGUUGGCGGUGCAACGGACCACCAAGGCGACGAUCGGUAGCCGGCCUGAGAGGGUGAUCGGCCACAUUGGGACUGAGAUACGGCCCAGACUCCUACGGGAGGCAGCAGUAGGGAAUAUUGCACAAUGGGGGAAACCCUGAUGCAGCAACGCCACGUGUGGGAAGAAGCAUUUCGGUGUGUAAACCACUGUCGUGAGGGAAUAAUGUUGCGUUUCGGCGCAAUUGAAUGUACCUCGAAAGGAAGCACCGGCAAACUUCGUGCCAGCAGCCGCGGUAAUACGAGGGGUGCAAGCGUUGUUCGGAAUCACUGGGCGUAAAGGGAGCGUAGGCGGAGGAGCAAGCAGUCUGUACAAUCCCGGGGCCUAACCCCGGCUCUGCAGACUGGACUGUUUCUCUUGGAUAGUUCAGGGGCAGGCGGAAUUCCUGGUGUAGCGGUGGAAUGCGUAGAGAUCAGGAAGAACACCGAUGGCGAAGGCAGCCUGCUGGGGACUUAUCGACGCUCAUGCUCGAAAGUGCGGGUAGCAAACAGGAUUAGAUACCCUGGUAGUCC
rnacentral:rRNA from 1 species